rnacentral:rRNA from 1 species
AUUGAACGCUGGCGGCAGGCCUAACACAUGCAAGUCGAACGAGUGGCGGACGGGUGAGUAAUGUCUGGGAAACUGACCGAUGGAGGGGGAUAAAUACUGGAAACGGUAGCUAAUACCGCAUACCAUCGGAUGUGCCCAGAUGGGAUUAGAUAGUAGGCUGGGUAACGGCUCACUUAGGCGACGAUCCCUAGCUGGUCUGAGAGGAUGACCGUCCACCCUGGAACUGAGACACGGUCCAGACUCCUACGGGAGGCAGCAGUGGGGAAUAUUGCACAAUGGGCGAAAGCCGGAUGCAGCCAUGCCGCGUGUAUGAAGAAGGCCUUCGGGUUGUAAAGUACUUUCAGCGAGGAGGCGUUACCCGCAGAAGAAGCACCGGCUAACUCCGUGCCAGCCGCCGCGGUAAUUC